ACAAGCAGGCGGGAGCAUGUUGGUUUAAUUCGAAGCAACGCGAAGAACCUUACCUAGACUUGGACAUCCCCUGCAUAACCCAGAGAUGGGCGAAGUCCUUCGGGACAGGGUGACAGGUGGUGCAUGGUUGUCGUCAGCUCGUGUCGUGAGAUGUUGGGUUAAGUCCCGCAACGAGCGCAACCCUUAUCAUUAGUUGCUACCAUUAAGUUGAGCACUCUACUGAGACUGCCCGGGUUAACCGGGAGGAAGGUGGGGAUGACGUCAAAUCAUCAUGCCCCUUAUGUCUAGGGCUACACACGUGCUACAAUGGUGAGUACAAAGAGAUGCAAGACCGCAAGGUGGAGCCAAACUCAAAAACUCAUCCCAGUUCGGAUUGUAGGCUGCAACUCGCCUACAUGAAGCCGGAGUUGCUAGUAAUCGCGAAUCAGCAUGUCGCGGUGAAUACGUUCCCGGGCCUUGUACACACCGCCCGUCACACCAUGAGAGUUGGUAACACCCGAAGUCCGUGAGGCAACCGUAAGGAGCCAGCGGCCGAAGGUGGGAUUGAUGAUUGGGGUGAAGUCGUAACAAGGUA
rnacentral:rRNA from 1 species